rnacentral:rRNA from 1 species
CGGACGGCAGAGUAAUGCGUGAGAUCCGCUCUUCAGGCUUGGAAUUACAGAGUGACAGGUUUGCUAAAGCCGGAUGCUGCCGAAAGGUGAAAAUUUACCUGCCUGAAGAGGGGCUUGCGUCUGAUUAGGUAGUUGGAGCGGUACAGGCCCUCCUAGAGGACGAUCAGUAUCUGGUCUGAGAGGAGGAGCAGCCUCAGUGGGACUGAGCCACGUUCCAGACUCCUACGGGAGUCAGCAGUGGCGAAUUUUCCGCAAUGGGCGAAAGCCUGACGGAGCAAGACCGCGUGAGGGAGGAAGGCCCUAGGGUUGUAAACCUCUUUUCUCGGGGAUGAAGAACGCCGGUACCAGAGGAAUAAGCCUCGGCUACCUCCGUGCCAGCAGCCGCGGUAAUACGGAGGAGGCAAGCGUUAUCCGGAAUGAUUGGGCGUAAAGAGUUCGUAGGUGGUAAUGAAAGUUUUCCGUUAAAGAGUAAGGCUUAACCUUAGGAGAGCGGUGAAAACUACAUACCUAGAGUAUGGAAGGGGCAGAGGGAAUUCCUGGUGUAGCGGUGAAAUUCGUAGAGACUCAGGAGGAACCUCGGUGGCGAAAGCGCUCUGUUAGCCCAAAUCUGCCUCUGAGGAACGAAACCUAGGGGAGGGAAAGGGAUUAGAUCCCCCCGUUAGUC